UCGACCGCCUGGGGAGUACGGCCGCAAGGUUAAAACUCAAAUGAAUUGACGGGGGCCCGCACAAGCGGUGGAGCAUGUGGUUUAAUUCGAUGCAACGCGAAGAACCUUACCUGGUCUUGACAUCCACGGAAGUUUUCAGAGAUGGAAUGGUGCCUUCGGGAACCGUGAGACAGGUGCUGCAUGGCUGUCGUCAGCUCGUGUUGUGAAAUGUUGGGUUAAGUCCCGCAACGAGCGCAACCCUUAUCCUUUGUUGCCAGCGGUCCGGCCGGGAACUCAAAGGAGACUGCCAGUGAUAAACUGGAGGAAGGUGGGGAUGACGUCAAGUCAUCAUGGCCCUUACGACCAGGGCUACACACGUGCUACAAUGGCGCAUACAAAGAGAAGCGACCUCGCGAGAGCAAGCGGACCUCAUAAAGUGCGUCGUAGUCCGGAUUGGAGUCUGCAACUCGACUCCAUGAAGUCGGAAUCGCUAGUAAUCGUGGAUCAGAAUGCCACGGUGAAUACGUUCCCGGGCCUUGUACACACCGCCCGUCACACCAUGGGAGUGGGUUGCAAAAGAAGUAGGUAGCUUAACCUUCGGGAGGGCGCUUACCACUUUGUGAUUCAUGACUGGGGUGAAGUCGUAACAAGGUAACCGUAGGGGAACCUGCGGUUGGAUCACCUCCUUACCUUAAAGAAGC
rnacentral:rRNA from 1 species